GGCUAGUGUUAGCAACACACCCGGUUUGAGCCCCAUGAGCUCACCUACACGUCAAGAAGCUGAAAUAGCCUCUCAAGGCAUAGGUAGGGAAAAAAAAGCACAAUCAUUGUCGGUCCCCCAAAACUUUAAUCCGACUAAUAAACCAGUUGUAAGUACAGUCCACUUUUAUUCAGAUAAGCUUUUCAACCAACAUCUCAUCGCAAUGGCGCCAACAAACACAAAGCCAUAAUAUUCAAAAUCUUAACUCACCUCCUUGUGCGGCGCUUCGAACAGAACUAAAUCGAAAAAAAAAACAUUAUACCUCGAAAACAAGAUAAUGUAUGUAGUUCUGGGAUUAUCACUAUUAUGACAUACAAUUAGGGUGACUACAUUUUUUUAUUAAAUUAUCGGACAGCAGUCAGAAUCCGUCGUGAUAUCUUUAAGAAAAACUUUCCUUAUUGAAACUACCGUCACGCCAUCACUGACGGUUUGAUAUUUUUUUUAUUAUUUAAUUGUGUGGAUGAACUCACGGCUCACCUGGUGUUGCCGUCUAUUUUUUGUAUAAGCAUAUCUAAUUUUUAGACGCAUUCCUUUGCGCACGAAAACAAUUAACUGUAUCUUGAGGUGUGGCAGUGCGACUUGAAUUUGUGUCUUCACGCUAACCGGACACAGGUAUUAUAAAGGAAAUAAGAUAAACUUUUUAAUAUAGUGACGAUAAAAACCGUAAAAUUAUUUUAAUUAUUUCUACGACUAGCAAAAUACCGAAGCAAAAAACAAUUUCAAUAAAUAAUUACGGUGGCCCUAUUCAGAUAAACGUUGUUAUGUUAAAGACUAAGGUUAUCGUCGCUCGCAUCAAAUGUUUAUCUGUACAGCACGAUAGUAAUAGUAAAAUAUUUAUGAAUACUUUCUUGUACGUAUUUAAAUAUUAUAAAUUUAGUUUCGUUCGAGUCGUAAGCAUGAUUAAAGCAACUUUUACGGAUUAAUUCAAUUAAACAGUCGCCCGCCAACGCGAAAUAUCGUAAAAGUUAUUUUAAUUAUUUAAGUAUACUCGGAUAUUAUAAGCAUUACACCAUACAUGCUAAUUUUCAACUUAAAAUUAAAAAUAUCAACUCCUGAUCAUUUUUUUAAAAUCACUUAAAAUAUUUAUACCUUCGCGUUAUUAUAUUCAAAUAAAUUACAUGUAAAUAUUUUUUAUUCCCUACCUAAUCCACUAACGGUGCGUUUAGGUACCCCAAGCACCGGUCAUCGCUCAGGCAGGGCUCGACGAGUAAAUUAACCCACAGACACAGCCCACUGAGUUUCUUACAGGAUCUUCUCAGUGGAUCCCGUUUCCGAUCCCGUGGUAGACUUCCAAGCUGCUCUUGCUAGUGUUAGCAAAUUCUCUCACGUUAAGCGCGUGAGCUCACUUACUCGCCCGGUAAAUCUAGUAUGACCUCUCGAGGUUACUACAAUAGGUAGGAAAAAAAGGGGACACCGAGAAAAUCAGUGGGCCUUGGAAACUCAGUCUUCGUGCUAGUUCGUAGGUCGAACGAUUGACGAGUUUGACGAGAACGACAUACGUUUGACGAGACAUAUUUAUGACAAGUUGACUUAAGGAUGUAACUAUGUUAGCGCGCCGCUGAGAGAAAAAGAUUGAGAAUCGCUGGCUUAGACGCACACAUGACAAACACGUAUGUAUAUACAAAAAUUGAUAUUAACAAAAUGCACUUUUACUUCGUGUAGGUACUUUAUAUCUUGGUGAUAAGCACGAAGAUCCCUUUAAUAAAGAUACUGCUAUCUAUACUAAUAUUAUAAAGAGGAAAGAUUUAAUUGUUUGUUUGGAUUGAAUAGGCUCACUGUUGGGAAGCUACACUUAUUCACGGAUGACAUAAGCAUUAAUAUAUUUUCAAAAAACUUAGGGAUCCUUACUAAAAUUCCAAUAAUGUAACCCAAGGUGUAAAAAUAAAAAAUACCUAACUUAUUCUUUACAUCACACCCCUUUACAAUAGGUGUCGCAACAGGAAAUAUCUAACUAUUAUACUUAUACAUAAUACAUAAAAAGUUUUCUUUUCUUUAAAAAAAGAAAAACCACAUCAAAUAUCAUUUACAAAAAAUUUGAAAGAAAAAAUCAUUAAAUCCUUAUUUAAAAAAAACAAUAAAAAAUCUUUAUUUAUAACUAUUUUUUUUUAGUAACCUGACGAAAAUAUUUGAGCUUAGGUGUGUGUACUAAAGUUAUUUACAAUUUUUUUUACAUUUUUUAGCGCGUAACAAUAUAUUAACAUUGACAUUUACUUUAAAGUACACUGACGCGUCGGUAGCGCUCGCGGCGUGAACGUUGGCGGCGGACGGGCGAUGUAUAAAAUCGCGCCUGUCUUUGGUUACAGAGCGUUUGCCGAUAUGAAGUUUCGCAUUAGUCGAAAGCGGUUGUUGGGUUAACAGAAACUUCCGUAACAAUGGCGCGUAACAAUAGGUUCAAUAAAACUAAUAUUUUGAAAUUAUUGUUAAAUACCCGAACGAAGCCGGGCGGACCGCUAGUAACUUAUAUAACUGUUAUUAAAAUGACGUUUGUCUUAAUAAAUUCUGGAUGCUAUGUUUAUUAAUUUACGACAAAUUGUUAUUGUUUGUGUAUCUAAUCGAAUAAUUUAUUUAGAUAACAAUAGUGCGGCGUUCUGGCGUGGAUGUUUUUUUUAUUUUUAUUGCCGUAUAGGCAUCGAGCGUACGGCCCACCUGAUGGUGAGUGGUUACCGCCGCUCAUGGACGUCAGCAAUGCCAGGGGCAGAGCCAAGCCGCUGCCUACCGUUUAAUACUCUCCACAAGCCUCGUUUGAAGAAGGACAUGUCAUAGCGCUCGGGAAACACCGUGGAGGGGAGCUCAUUCCAUAGCCGGAUGGUACGUGGCAAAAAAGAUCUCUGGAAACGCACUGUGGAUGAACGUAGUGGCUCCAGGUAGUAUGAAUGAACUCUACUCCGAUGGCGGGCGGUGCGAUGGUAAAAACGAGAUGUCGGUCUAUGAUCUCGAACAAUUCCUCAGAGAAAUUUUUGUUUACGCUUUCUGUAUUAUCUGUGGAUGUUUUUAAAUAAUUUUUCUACUUACAGGUGUGUUGCGUUGCAAUGCGAGACUCUGAAUGGUUAACUCGCGUAUUUGUUGUUGACUUUUCUUUAUAAUAAAGUCACUCCUAUCACAAAGUUCAAGGGCGACUAAUUUUUGCAAAACAAUAGUUAUCCUCAAACUUCAUGAUUGGUUGAUUUUACUUUAGGUACCUACAUUACGAAUUCCAGCUGUUGUCGCCGUAAAAUUUUAAUACUUUACGAUCAGAUAAUUAAAAAAAAAAUGCAGUUAAGAAUACACACAAGACAAACGCCUAAUGCCUAUAAAA